AGAGUUUGAUCCUGGCUCAGGAUGAACGCUAGCGGCAGGCUUAACACAUGCAAGUCGAGGGGUAUAGUAGCAAUACUAGAGACCGGCGCACGGGUGCGUAACGCGUAUGCAAUCUACCUUUUACAGAGGGAUAGCCCAGAGAAAUUUGGAUUAAUACCUCAUAGUAUAACGACUCCGCAUGGAGAUGUUAUUAAAGUCACAACGGUAAAAGGUGAGCAUGCGUCCCAUUAGCUUGUUGGUAAGGUAACGGCUUACCAAGGCAACGAUGGGUAGGGGUCCUGAGAGGGAGAUCCCCCACACUGGUACUGAGACACGGACCAGACUCCUACGGGAGGCAGCAGUGAGGAAUAUUGGUCAAUGGGCGCAAGCCUGAACCAGCCAUGCCGCGUGCAGGAUGACGGUCCUAUGGAUUGUAAACUGCUUUUGUACAGGAAGAAACAGUUCUACGUGUAGAACCUUGACGGUACUGUAAGAAUAAGGAUCGGCUAACUCCGUGCCAGCAGCCGCGGUAAUACGGAGGAUCCAAGCGUUAUCCGGAAUCAUUGGGUUUAAAGGGUCCGUAGGCGGUCUUAUAAGUCAGUGGUGAAAGCCCAUCGCUCAACGAUGGAACGGCCAUUGAUACUGUAAGACUUGAAUUAUUUGGAAGUAACUAGAAUAUGUAGUGUAGCGGUGAAAUGCUUAGAGAUUACAUGGAAUACCAAUUGCGAAGGCAGGUUACUACAAAUGGAUUGACGCUGAUGGACGAAAGCGUGGGUAGCGAACAGGAUUAGAUACCCUGGUAGUCCACGCCGUAAACGAUG
rnacentral:rRNA from 1 species